rnacentral:rRNA from 1 species
UGGGGAAUUUUGGACAAUGGGCGAAAGCCUGAUCCAGCAAUGCCGCGUGUGUGAAGAAGGCCUUCGGGUUGUAAAGCACUUUUGUCCGGAAAGAAAUCCUUGGCUCUAAUACAGUCGGGGGAUGACGGUACCGGAAGAAUAAGCACCGGCUAACUACGUGCCAGCAGCCGCGGUAAUACGUAGGGUGCAAGCGUUAAUCGGAAUUACUGGGCGUAAAGCGUGCGCAGGCGGUUUGCUAAGACCGAUGUGAAAUCCCCGGGCUCAACCUGGGAACUGCAUUGGUGACUGGCAGGCUAGAGUAUGGCAGAGGGGGGUAGAAUUCCACGUGUAGCAGUGAAAUGCGUAGAGAUGUGGGGAAUACCGAUGGCGAAGGCAGCCCCCUGGGCCAAUACUGACGCUCAUGCACGAAAGCGUGGGGAGCAAACAGGAUUAGAUACCCUGGUAGUCCACGCCCUAAACGAUGUCAACUAGUUGUUGGGGAUUCAUUUCCUUAGUAACGUAGCUAACGCGUGAAGUUGACCGCCUGGGGAGUACGGUCGCAAGAUUAAAACUCAAAGGAAUUGACGGGGUCAUAGCUGUUUCCU